AAAUACCCGCGUUAGGGAUUGCAGCAGAAAACCCACAGCCCCACGUAGGAGGCACAAGGACUUGUAGCGUAAAGCCCGCCCCUUG
rnacentral:misc_RNA from 1 species